UACGUAGGCAGCAAGCGUUGUUCGGAGUUACUGGGCGUAAAGAGUGCGUAGGCGGUGUCGAAAGUUUGGCGUGAAAUCUCCCGGCUUAACUGGGAGGGUGCGCCGAAAACUGCGGUGCUGGAGUGUGGGAAAGGCAAGCGGAAUUCCUGGUGUAGCGGUGAAAUGCGUAGAUAUCAGGAGGAACACCGGCGGUGUAGACGGCUUGCUAGACCAUAACUGACGCUGAUGCGCGAAAGCUAGGGGAGCAAACAGG
rnacentral:rRNA from 1 species